rnacentral:rRNA from 1 species
UACGUAGGGCGCGAGCGUUGUCCGGAAUUAUUGGGCGUAAAGAGCUCGUAGGCGGUUUGUCGCGUCUGCUGUGAAAUCCCGAGGCUCAACCUCGGGUCUGCAGUGGGUACGGGCAGACUGGAGUGCGGUAGGGGAGAACGGAAUUCCUGGUGUAGCGGUGAAAUGCGCAGAUAUCAGGAGGAACACCGGUGGCGAAGGCGGUUCUCUGGGCAUUACCUGACGCUGAGGAGCGAAAGUGUGGGGAGCGAACAGG